UUGAACGCUGGCGGCAUGCUUUACACCUGCCAGUCGCACGGCAGCGCGGGCUUCGGCCUGGCGGCGAGUGGCGAACGGGUGAGUAAUACAUCGGAACGUGCCCAGUAGUGGGGGAUAGCUCGGCGAAAGCCGGAUUAAUACCGCAUACGACCUGAGGGUGAAAGCGGGGGAUCUUCGGACCUCGCGCUAUUGGAGCGGCCGAUGGCAGAUUAGCUAGUUGGUGGGGUAAAGGCCUACCAAGGCGACGAUCUGUAGCUGGUCUGAGAGGACGACCAGCCACACUGGGACUGAGACACGGCCCAGACUCCUACGGGAGGCAGCAGUGGGGAAUUUUGGACAAAGGGCGAAAGCCUGAUCCAGCAAUGCCGCGUGUGUGAUGAAGGCCUUCGGGUUGUAAAGCACUUUUGGCGGGAACGAAAAGGACUGUGCCAAUACCACGGUUCGAUGACGGUACCCGCAGAAUAAGCACCGGCUAACUACGUG
rnacentral:rRNA from 1 species